rfam:Lachnospiraceae bacterium A2 genomic scaffold acPFL-supercont1.2, whole genome shotgun sequence.
UACUAACCAAGUAUAUGACCGAAGACAGCAGGUGCCGCAAGGCAUAACAGCAAGGCCUGCCGAGGAAGUUUACAGGAUAUUUUCCAGUAAAUGAUGAAAGAUUUUUCAAGCCUCUUUGUCUCGGACAAAGGGGCUUUUAAGCAGUUUAA